UAAACAAGUACUCUCUUGACAUGGGUACACAAACCAGACAAGUUUGGGGCAACCUAGACCAGGAGGAAGAGUAGAGUCAGGAACAAGGAUGGGCUCCAGUACCCCCCACCCCCAGUGAUUUCCAUGUAGAAAGGAUGUUGGCCACCCUGGUAACAAGAGGAAGGAGGCAUGGUUGGAUCUACUUCUUC
ensembl:misc_RNA